rnacentral:rRNA from 1 species
CCUACGGGAGGCAGCAGUGAGGAAUAUUGGUCAAUGGGCGCAAGCCUGAACCAGCCAAGUAGCGUGCAGGAUGACUGCCCUACGGGUUGUAAACUUCUUUUAUAAAGGAGUAAAGUGACGCACGUGUACGAUUUUGUAUGUACUUUAUGAAUAAGGAUCGGCUAACACCGUUACAGCAGCCGCGGUAAUACGGAGGAUGCGAGCUUUAGCCGAAAUUAUUGGGUUAAAGGGGUGCGUAGGCGGAUCGUGAAGUCAGUGGUCAAAUUAAGUGGCGAAACCCCUGCCCGCCUUGGAGACUGGCGAGUUAGAGUGAGAGAGAAGUAAGCGGAAUGCGAGGUGAAGCGGGGAAAUGCGUAGAUAUAAGGAAGAACCCCGAUUGCGAAGGCAGCAUGCCGGCUCCCGACUGACGCUGAAGCACGAAAGCGUGGGGAUCGAACAGGAUUAGAUACCCUUGUAGUC